AGCGAAACCUACUGCAUUGUUCUCUCCUCCCCUUCCUUUUCCCCUGACCCCCCCAUUGCAGAGCUUUCACUGGAACCUCUGUGGUGUGUAUAUUUUCCUAGAGUUGCCAGGGCCAAAAUGGUACAGCUGAGACAUUCACAGAAGUCAAAGAAAGUGCAGGCCCAAGUUAGUGCACAGGGGUACAAUAGUUCCUUAAGAGCGAGCGUCUCCCCCGCCGCCACCCCCCUCUUCCCAAACCUUCCGUCUCUAAUGAACCUUUGGUGUCUGUCCACAAAAAACAAACAUCAAUCAGGCAACAGGCUGUUCCUUUUCCCCUGUUGCUAGUCUGAAAUAACAGGCAUCCCCCGCUGGGCUGGGAACGCCACUUCCCUCUCCAGCACACAUACGGGAUAAUAAGGGGGAGGCGAAGGAGGGAGGAAAACCCGCUCCGAGGUGCCAGAAUACACAGCGAGACGUGCCUUUCAGAGCCAGAGAAAACUUGGGAACACAACAGCUUUUGAUUCCUCCUGCCCCACUGGAUGCUGCAGUGGAAAUUUUUGCAUGCCUGUAAUCAUGGUGGACUCUUGUCCAAAGGUUCAGCUGUAAAUUAUCAUCCCACUCAAGCUCCCUGGCUGUGCAGGUAAUCAAGCACAAGAUGGUGACCUCAUCAAAAUGUAUCCAGGACAUAGGGAUAAAACUGAGAUCAAGAGACAGGAUGCAGCUCAGAUCCCAUUGUGGACCCCACACAAGAAAACUGGGAAAAUUUAUGACAUCUCUCCUGACCUCCAUUCAUGUGAAACACAGCUAAUUGCCUGACCGGGUGCGGUGAGACUUGUUUGCUCCGUCUGUGCAGACCUUCCAGUGAUGGAAAGCUCUCUCCUGGCACAGUGAGGUAAAGCCCUGAAGGAGAGGUGGACUUGAUUACAGGAGAUGCUGUCCCAGCCCAGACAGGAAGUCUCUGACCCUGACAACUGGAGACAGAGCGCCGGGGGACAGCACCAAGGCACGCAGGCAGCAUGGCAAGCCUGGGCUCCUGACUCCCCUGUCAGUGCUGAGCAUCCUUCGAGCUGUGCUGCUGCUGCAAACCUGUGCCAAGCACGGUAUUCUGAGCUCAGCUGCAUUCAGGUUGUUUUCUGCUUCACUGGGCACUCACAGGUUCCUCCUGGAGAGCUGGCUUACUGCUCUCCCAUCCUGCCCCUGCCCCCCUGCCCCUCCUGUGCCCUCUCACCCCAUCUCACAGUAAUAACCAUAAGUUUUUAACAGCAUGUCCUACACUGGAGGUUUUGUAGUUCCAGCUUUUAAAAUGAUUUAGUGUGACAGUUUAGUGCUGAAUUAAAGAAAAAAAAAAAAAAAAGAAUAAGAAAAAGGAAGAGAAGAAGCAGAGAGAAAAAGGAGAGACAGUCCCCUUAAGGCAACAACAUUAUGGAGCAGUGAUCUCAGAGGAACAAGGGUUCUUCUCUGGUUCAGAUGUGCUUGUCAGAGCUCAGUGUCGUCUCUGAACAAGAAAUCUCUCUUGCUGGCCCAAGGCACAGUUUUGUGGUCAAGAGGACAGAAAAUAAAGGGAGGGAACUUCAAAGAAGCAUAAGCUGCAUUAGCCCGCUGGGGCGGGUGGCUGCGGCACAUCCCAUGGCUGACAAUUAUGACCUGCAUGCCGAGAAAGCUUGCCUCCCUCUUGUCAGAGGGAUAAGACACAGGCUGUGAGCUUUAGAGCUUUGAGGAUGUGUACAGUUCAUGAUGAAAGAUAGCACUUCAAAGCCCUCUGCCUAGAAACCCAGGGAGAAGUAAGAGCGGAGGGUAAGCAAUCUUUUUUCCUGGGGGGGUGCAUAUGCGGGGGAAGGAUAAGACUUACUUUCACUGUCAUUUAUUAUUGCCAUGAAAAUGAAGCCCUGCACUGUUUAUGGAAUUUCUCAUUAAAAGGAUCUCUUGAUAAA